rnacentral:rRNA from 1 species
GACGAACGCUGGCGGCGUGCCUAAUACAUGCAAGUUGAGCGCUGAAGGUUGGUACUUGUACCAACUGGAUGAGCAGCGAACGGGUGAGUAACGCGUGGGGAAUCUGCCUUUGAGCGGGGGACAACAUUUGGAAACGAAUGCUAAUACCGCAUAAAAACUUUAAACACAAGUUUUAAGUUUGAAAGAUGCAAUUGCACCACUCAAAGAUGAUCCCGCGUUGUAUUAGCUAGUUGGUGAGGUAAAGGCUCACCAAGGCGAUGAUACAUAGCCGACCUGAGAGGGUGAUCGGCCACAUUGGGACUGAGACACGGCCCAAACUCCUACGGGAGGCAGCAGUAGGGAAUCUUCGGCAAUGGACGAAAGUCUGACCGAGCAACGCCGCGUGAGUGAAGAAGGUUUUCGGAUCGUAAAACUCUGUUGGUAGAGAAGAAUGUUGGUGAGAGUGGAAAGCUCAUCAAGUGACGGUAACUACCCAGAAAGGGACGGCUAACUACGUG